ncrna:unclassified sequences IS605-orfB-II RNA
CAUGAUUAGCUCAUGCUAGGAUUGUAUAGAGGGUAGUCCCAGUCACCUCAACUCCGACAAAUGCAUGAAAAUCAAAUUUUCAUGCAUUUGUAAGGUGAGAAACAACGAUUAAGUUGGAAACUUUAAUUUUAUUAAUGAAUUAAGGAACUGG